CAACCCUCAAGCCCAGCUUGGUGUUGGGGAUCGGCACAGGCGCCCUCGGGCGCCAGCCGUCCCCUAAAUCUAGUGGCGGUCCCGCUGCAGCCUCCUCUGCGUAGUAGUUUUCUCCUCGCAAGGGCAGCUCGGUGGCGACCUCGUCGUAAAACCCCCAACUUCUGAAAGU
rnacentral:misc_RNA from 1 species